AUUGAACGCUGGCGGCAGGCCUAACACAUGCAAGUCGAACGGUAACAGGAAGAAGCUUGCUUCUUUGCUGACGAGUGGCGGACGGGUGAGUAAUGUCUGGGAAACUGCCUGAUGGAGGGGGAUAACUACUGGAAACGGUAGCUAAUACCGCAUAACGUCGCAAGACCAAAAAGGGGGACCUUCGGGCCUCUUGCCAUCGGAUGUGCCCAGAUGGGAUUAGCUAGUAGGUGGGGUAACGGCUCACCUAGGCGACGAUCCCUAGCUGGUCUGAGAGGAUGACCAGCCACACUGGAACUGAGACACGGUCCAGACUCCUACGGGAGGCAGCAGUGGGGAAUAUUGCACAAUGGGCGCAAGCCUGAUGCAGCCAUGCCGCGCGUAUGAAGAAGGCCUUCGGGUUGUAAAGUACUUUCAGCGGGGAGGAAGGGAGUAAAGUUAAUACCUUUGCUCAUUGACGUUACCCGCAGAAGAAGCACCGGCUAACUCCGUG
rnacentral:rRNA from 1 species